GACAGAGGUGGCGAGCGUUGCUCGGAUUUACUGGGCUUAAAGGGCGCGUAGGUGGCCUUGUAAGUCAAAGGUGGAAUUCCACAGCUUAACUGUGGAACUGCCUUUGAUACUGCAAGGCUUGAGUCAGGUAGAGGAGGGCGGAAUUCCCGGUGUAGCGGUGAAAUGCGUAGAUAUCGGGAGGAAGGCCGGUGGCGAAGGCGGCCCUCUGGGCCUGUACUGACACUGAGGCGCGAAAGCGUGGGGAGCAAACAGG
rnacentral:rRNA from 1 species